rnacentral:pre_miRNA from 1 species
AGAUGAUUAACUGGGUCAAAUGGUGGUUCCAUUCCCAGAUUUCCAAGGAAUCUCCAUACUGCUUUCCAAAUUGGCUGCACCAAUUUGCAGUCCCACCAGCAAU